GAGAGAGAAAGAACAACUUGUCAGGUGGUGCAUUGGAGACUGAUGUGUUCCUGUCCUGUCUUUUCAUAAUACUAUUGCAGAUCGACAUAAAAGCCUAAAAGACAGCCGUGGUGUCGCUCUUCAUUUCUUGGUUCUCCUGUGGUGCAUAAGAAACCCGCUACAGAUUGGUGCCGUGACCCGGAUCAACAGAUCAGCUGCAGCAGAUCGCCGGGGGACCCCUAAACAGAACUGGAUCGACAUCACACGUUUAAAACAUUUGAGGGCAAGAACAACUUGUCAGGUGGUGCAUUGGAGACUGAUGUGUUCCUGUCCUGUCUUUUCAUAAUACUAUUGCAGAUCGACAUAAAAGCCUAAAAGACAGCCGUGGUGUCGCUCUUCAUUUCUUGGUUCUCCUGUGGUGCAUAAGAAACCCGCUACAGAUUGGUGCCGUGACCCGGAUCAACAGAUCAGCUGCAGCAGAUCGCCGGGGGACCCCUAAACAGAACUGGAUCGACAUCACACGUUUAAAACAUUUGAGGGCAAGGUGAACUUUGGACAAUAUGUUGCAUAUGCCUCAGUUGUGUGAGAUUACAGAACAGGAGAGAGAAGACAUAUCAGGUGUUGGUGAUAACAAUGUACAUGUUACUCCGGUUGGUGUUACUGUGAGAGGUUCACAAGGUAUGGCCACUGGGGUGGGGCGGGGGGCUCAGUUGGCCAGUAUGGGGGAACAUAGUGCUAGAGCCAGUCCUCUUAGAUACCCAGCAGUCGACACUAGAGUGCCAAGUGUCAGUAGUAGCCAACCAGAGCAUGUUAGCAGUAGCCAACCAGGCAACGAUGACAGUGAAGAGUCCCAGAAGGCCAUAGGGGGUGAAAAUGAGAACCGAACCCAAUUACAAGCCCUAGCAGAGUUAGUCAAACAACUGGGCAGUGAAAUAGGUAAUCAAGUUGCCGCUAGUCUAGCAGGGGCUGGUCCAAGCACUUCCCCUCCCCAACCAAUAGUAGAAAUACCUGAUUGGUCAAAGGUCAACCUAAUUCUGAAGUCAGACGUCAGAGAACCACCCCACUUCCGGGGUGAUAGCACAGACCGGUGC
rnacentral:lncRNA from 1 species